CCGCCGCGCGCGGCGGGCCUACGGGAGGCAGCAGUGGGGAAUAUUGCACAAUGGGCGCAAGCCUGAUGCAGCCAUGCCGCGUGUAUGAAGAAGGCCUUCGGGCUGUAAAGUACUUUCAGCGGGGAGGAAGGUGUUGAGGUUAAUAACCUCAGCAAUUGACGUUACCCGCAGAAGAAGCACCGGCUAACUCCGUGCCAGCAGCCGCGGUAAUA
rnacentral:rRNA from 1 species